rnacentral:rRNA from 1 species
UAAGGAAUAUUGGUCAAUGGACGCAAGUCUGAACCAGCCAUGCCGCGUGAAGGAUGAAGGUCCUCUGGAUUGUAAACUUCUUUUAUAUGGGACGAAACCCGGGAAUUCCUUCCCGAUUGACGGUACCAUAGGAAUAAGCACCGGCUAACUCCGUGCCAGCAGCCGCGGUAAUACGGAGGGUGCAAGCGUUAUCCGGAUUCACUGGGUUUAAAGGGUGCGUAGGAGGGUAGGUAAGUCAGUGGUGAAAUCCCCGAGCUUAACUUGGGAACUGCCGUUGAUACUAUCUAUCUUGAAUAUCGUGGAGGUGAGCGGAAUAUGUCAUGUAGCGGUGAAAUGCUUAGAUAUGACAUAGAACACCAAUUGCGAAGGCAGCUUGCUACACGAAUAUUGACUCUGAGGCACGAAAGCGUGGGGAUCAAACA